rnacentral:rRNA from 1 species
GAUGAACGCUGGCGGCGUGCCUAAUACAUGCAAGUCGAGCGAACGGACGAGAAGCUUGCUUCUCUGAUGUUAGCGGCGCACGGGUGAGUAACACGUGGAUCACCUACCUAUCAGACUGGGAUCACUUCGGGACACCGGAGCUAAUACCGGAUAAUAUUUUGAACCGCAUUGUUCAAAAGUGAAAGACGGUCUUGCUGUCACUUAUAGAUGGAUCCGCGCUGCAUUAGCUAGUUGGUAAGGUAACGGCUUACCAAGGGAAGGAUGCAUAGCCGACCUGAGAGGGGGGUAGGCGGCCUUGGAGGUGGAACGGGGACAUGAGGACUACGGGACGCAGCAGAAGGGAACGUUAGGCAGUGGGGGGAAGCAUGACGGAGCAGGGGCGCGUGAGAUGUGAAGGCCCUCGGUGCGGAAAGAUCUGUUAUUAGGGAAGAACAUCUGUGGAAGGAACUGUGGACAGCGUGACGGUAAUUAAUCAGAAAGCAACGGCUAACUACGUG